AUUGAACGCUGGCGGCAUGCCUUACACAUGCAAGUCGAGCGGCAGCGCGGGAGCAAUCCUGGCGGCGAGUGGCGAACGGGUGAGUAAUAUAUCGGAACGUGCCCAGUAGUGGGGGAUAGCCCGGCGAAAGCCGGAUUAAUACCGCAUACGACCUACGGGUGAAAGGGGGGGAUCGCAAGACCUCUCGCUAUUGGAGCGGCCGAUAUCAGAUUAGGUAGUUGGUGGGGUAAAGGCCUACCAAGCCUGCGAUCUGUAGUUGGUCUGAGAGGACGACCAGCCACACUGGGACUGAGAAGCGGCCCAGAAUCCUACGGGAGGCAGCAGUGGGGAAUUUUGGAAAAUGGGCGCAAGCCUGAUCCAGCAAUGCCGCGUGCAGGAAGAAGGCCUUCGGGUUGUAAACUGCUUUUGUCAGGGAAGAAAUCCUCUAGGCUAAUACCUUGGGGGGAUGACGGUACCUGAAGAAUAAGCACCGGCUAACUACGUGCCAGCCGCCGCCGUAACAC
rnacentral:rRNA from 1 species